CCCUCUCUCUCUCUUUUCCUCUCCAAUUUCAUCUUUCUGGAGGUGCUCUGUUCUGGUUUGGAGAUUCAAUGUUGUGAUUUCUAACGGUAGAGCUCAUAUGCAAUGAAAUAGAUCUUUGGGUUUCUAGUGGUUCCGAUCACUUAUCAACGUUUUGAUUCAUCGUUCCUCGCACCUUUUGGUAAAUUGUUUUUCCUGUUAUACUGUCACCAGCUGCUAUGUGAUUCAACUGGAGGAUCCUCCGAAAGAAGUAGAUUGCAUAGCAGUUGCUUGAAGGGGUUAAACAGGGGAAGACAGCCAGUAGUUUAGAAAUCAAACACCAAUUGCUUCACCCUGCACACUCAUUCAUUGAAAAUUUUAUAUGAUCUUUCCGCAACUCCACAUCGCUAGAGUCAAUUGUGGACAACCACACUAAAAGUGAAACUUUAGUACCAUGCUGCUUUGUGUCAUGUCUUGCACGCCAAAUUUCCAGCUGCCAAAUUUGCACUUGUACAGCAGUGCUGAUGACCCUAGACGUUAAUCCUUUGGCUUAAUAGUUCUUCAUGUCAUGAAUCUAUGAAAAAAUACCCAUGUUAAGGCAAUUGAAAACAACAAGUAACACUAGUAGGCCGUCCCUCUCUAUGCACUGCAGUCGAUAUAUGAUGUAUUUGCUUCAUGAUUUCGUCAUUUUGAUUAAUUCCCUCCCUCUUUGCAUUUUUUGCUUUAUUUCAAUUCAUAAAGGCGCUACUUAGUUGGCCUUUCCUGGCUAUCAACUUAGACUCGGGGUGUUCUUUUGGAUCAGUUAUGUCUUUGCAUAUAAUUUUUCAAUAGAUUUAUAUUCUGAGAAUCUCCAUCUCAUCCUAACUGUCAUAAAACUUGCAUUCUUUUCAUUAACUUCUUAGUCCAUUUUCAUACUUUGCUUAAUAUCUAGGUUGUUUUUUUUGCUUCUAUUGAUCUUUUAUUUAUGCAAUAGAAAUAAAGAAACUGCAAAUGCUAAAAGAUAGGAAACAUUGUUUGUGCCAUAAAUAAUACAGUUGACAGAGAAAUUUUGGAUUACCAUCUAGGUGUCUAAUGUUAGAUCAGAUGAUCUAUUUGACCCUAAGGACAACAGGUUCCUUGUGUAUAUCCGUAUUACAAAAGUUUAAGAUUUUCGCAUAAAGUAGUAUGGUUGUAUCACGGCCUUAUGGGAUGAAGUGUUUUUUGCAAUAGUUCACGAGUGGCAGCAGUAGAUUGUAUGAUUUGGUUUUGGAGUUAGUUGUGAGGGUCGGAGAAGAUGGAUGAUGCAAAACAACGACGAGUUCACCAGUUGAAGGAAGUAAGCUGAUUUGUAUGUAUGGAUGUGAAAGGGAGUCAAUGCAACAACUCUAAAUGUUCUAGCAACUAUGCAUCAUGCGAGCAGGAUGGUGAACUAGCAACGACGAGUUCACCAGUUGAAGGAAGUCGUAACACAGAAGACAGCACCUUCGUUCUUGUGUGUAAAUGCAAUAGUUGGAAGAUACUACCCAAUUUAUACUACCCAAUUUAUUGAUUUAGUUGAGAACAGAGAGACAGAGGCAAACAUUACCUUCACUUAAUCAUAGUUGAUGUAAUUUAUCAUUAAA